AUACUUAUCUAUCAGGGAAGAUACUAUGAUCAUGAAGGUGGUUUUCCCAGGGCAAGACUUACCCAUUACACUCCAAUGACCCCUGCGAUUUCCCCAAAUGUGGGAAACUCUGCUGCAUAAUUUGUGUGUGUGUGGCAGGGGGAACUGCAUUCAUGUUCUCCCUUA